rnacentral:rRNA from 1 species
GACGAACGCUGGCGGCGUGCUUAACACAUGCAAGUCGAACGGAAAGGCCCUGCUUUUGUGGGGUGCUCGAGUGGCGAACGGGUGAGUAACACGUGAGUAACCUGCCCUUGACUUUGGGAUAACUUCAGGAAACUGGGGCUAAUACCGGAUAGGAGCUCCUGCUGCAUGGUGGGGGUUGGAAAGUUUCGGCGGUUGGGGAUGGACUCGCGGCUUAUCAGCUUGUUGGUUGGGUAGUGGCUUACCAAGGCUUUGACGGGUAGCCGGCCUGGGAGGGUGACCGGCCACAUUGGGACUGAGAUACGGCCCAGACUCCUACGGGAGGCAGCAGUGGAGAAUAUUGCACAAUGGGCGGAAGCCUGAUGCAGCAACGCCGCGUGCGGGAUGACGGCCUUCGGGUUGUAAACCGCUUUCGCCUGUGACGAAGCGUGAGUGACGGUAAUGGGUAAAGAAGCACCGGCUAACUACGUG